AAUAUGGAUCUGCAGGACAUUCAGCAGCCUGUGCUGAAACUGGAGUAUCUGCAGAUCCACAGCUUAUCAAUAACAGUCAUUGAUAGUGCAGGCACAGCUGCUCGUUGUGAUAACACCUUUGGACUGCAACACCUUCUUGCCCAGGGUGAUCAGGCAAGCUCAGCCAAUCAUUCCAAAGUCCAUCCCAAGGGAUGUGUGCCAAGAACCAGGUGCCUUCUCUGUAUCAGAGCAACACCUUCUUCCCCUCCUCUUCUCUAGCUGCUGACUUAUUUUGGUUUGGUUUAGGCAGGUUGUUUGUUUUCAGUACUCUCUAAUUUUCUUCUUAAGUAAUGUUCAGUUUUGCUGUACAGACCACAAGUGAGUAAAAACUGCAACAUUUCCAGAAUUUUCUGAUCUCUCUUCUCCACUGGGAACUGGGCAGUGAUGUCAUGUUGCUUGGCUGCCUCCCUGCUGCAGCUCAUGGCAUGCAGCACUGGGGAUAACCCUGCAGUGGCUGCAGCUUUUUGAUAGGAUGGUGUUGGUGUUUGCCUGCUGUAGCUGCACACAUGGUCCAUGAUGAUAAGCUGAGAGAAACAAGACACAAAAGACUGAAUGAAGAUCAGAAUAGCCACUAUUAAUUUGCUUUUCCCCCAAAAGGAUGGGCACUGGCUGCACUAAUUGUGCUUAUCAUGGAAUCAUUCAGGUUGGAAAAGGUCAUUGAGAUCAUCGAGUCCAAAUCUACACUGAAAAUGUCACAGUUUCCAGCUGCAGCAAGCUCUGGUCCAACCUGAGUACUCUGCAAAGCAGACUAUCACAGACUAGAUGCUCUCAGAUUCCAUGGUUAACAUACGUUAAGAGACAAAAGAUCUCCAGCUGGACCGUAAAUGAGGGAAAACAACAUUCUUUGCUUCCUUCUAAAACAGUUAAUUCUAUAAAUUCAGAUGGUGAUAUUAUGCAAUACUCUGCACGGAGUGGGAGGUGGAACACACAUAUGCUCAAGUAUGUGGCAUGCUCUAUAAAAAGUAAGUGUGGGAGCCUCUGCAAUUCCUAUCUCAAUUCUUAUCUCAGUUGCUAACUUAACUUCUUCCUUGUUCAAAUCCCCUCAGUCCCUCUCUCACUGUCACUCCAGCCUGUCACACUUCUGCAUGUGAAGAGGCCAUCUGGACCCGAAAUAUUGGUUUACAAAAUAAAUACAGGCUCUUGCUAUUUA